CAUUUGGUUGGUAAUUCAGAUUUUUCCCAAGCAAGUUUUAGUGUGUGUUUGGCCUUCGUGUGGUAUGCUGCUAUGUAUGGCUAAUCAGUUUUAAGCCAAUAAGUGUAGUAUCUUAAAAAAAGUGGCCAUAAAA